rnacentral:rRNA from 1 species
AUGGAGGUGGCCAGAAGCGUAGUCUUCGACAGGAUUAGCUAUCCCCCUUUUAUUCUGGCAUUCUGCAGUUCAGUCCACCGAUAUGGCCCUUUACACAUAUACCCAUGCAUAGGUAGUGUAGCUCCUUGCUUGCGAGUACUUUGGAUGAGUACUCACGGUUGCUUUUCUUCCCCUUUCCCCCUUUCCCUUCUACCUGGUUGUCACAACCAGAUGCUAGAUCCCAGGAGCCAGACGCCACCAUCGACAACAACUCCUACUACACCGCGGGUGCCUACUACUACUUGCAGGCCACCGACGACGACCAGGAGUAGUUUAGGAGGAUCCCAGGUAGGAGGCCUGCGCCUCUUUCGAUCUGUAUCCUAG